AACGAACGCUGGCGGCAUGCCUAACACAUGCCAGUCGAACGAGACCUUCGGGUCUAGUGGCGCACGGGUGCGUAACGCGUGGGAACCUGCCCUUAGGUUCGGAAUAACUCCCCGAAAGGGGUGCUAAUACCGGAUAAUGUCUUCGGACCAAAGAUUUAUCGCCUUUGGAUGGGCCCGCGUUGGAUUAGCUAGUUGGUAGGGUAAAAGCCUACCAAGGCGACGAUCCAUAGCUGGUCUGAGAGGAUGAUCAGCCACACUGGGGCUGAGACACGGCCCAGACUCCUACGGGAGGCAGCAGUGGGGAAUAUUGGACAAGGGGCGAAAGCCUGAUCCAGCAAUGCCGCGUGAGUGAUGAAGGCCUUAGGGUUGUAAAGCUCUUUUACCCGGGAUGAUAAUGACAGUACCGGGAGAAUAAGCUCCGGCUAACUCCGUG
rnacentral:rRNA from 1 species